rnacentral:rRNA from 1 species
AUGGAUCUACACCCAUAGGUGAUCUGCUGAAAUGCUCGCGGUUUGAACAAUCCAGCAAAACGAAAGGCAGUGCAGGAAUUUGUGGGCACGUUAGUGGUCAACUUGAUUUUCUUUCAAGAAACAAAGAUGGAUGUAAUAGACCAAUUCAUAAUUAUGCAAUGUUUGGGGCCAUAUUUUGAUGGCUUUGCUUACUUGCCGGUGUUGGAGACUCGCGGUGGAGUGCUGUUAGCUUGGAAUAGCUCGGUGUUGGAAGUGGAAGCCACUCAAUUCGACACGAACUUUGUCACGGGACGGGUGCGCACCAAAACUAGGGAUUCUUGCUGGAUUUCAGUGAUCUAA